AAGCUGUUUCCCCUCCAGGAAAAAAUGCCCCCUGCCUCCCAUCCGUAUGAAUGGAGGAAUAUCGGAAUAAGAUGCUGGAUGGCAUCAGCUCAUUGAGAACAUCGCCCAUCUGCAGUGCUUCUCCUCCUCCCUGGGCCCCGAGGGAUCUGCCUGGCCCCAAAAGAGCCGCCUUCACACUUGGCCCAGAGACUUCAGCUUCUCCGCGCCUGUCCCGCUUGGCUGGGGAGCAGAGGAACAGUUGAGGAGACAUGUGUCACAACUUGCACGAACCCCAGGAGCCUGUUGGGGGGAAAGCCCCUGAUUCUUACUCAUAGAAGCCGGGGCCUUUAUCUUUCCCAGGAGAUUAAGCCUCAGUCCCCAACCUCAGCGUUCACACUGCUGACCCAGCCAGAGCAGUGACUGGAUAAAUGAGUGACUGAAAGAAUAAAUGAGGUGAUGAAGAUCAAGUAGCACUUGGAAGGAGCGCGUUCAUAUUCAUUUUAUUACAGCACAAUACAUAGGACACAAAAUUUACUGUUAGUGACAUUUAGUCCAUCCAUAAUAUGCAAUCGUCACCUAAUGCCAGCACAUUUCAUCACCCUAAAAGGAAGUCUUCCUUCCCCUGGUACUGAGAUAGCAAGCAGCAGAGACAAUGCAUCCCA
rnacentral:lncRNA from 1 species